GCCUAACACAUGCAAGUCGAACGCACCGCAAGGUGAGUAACAGACGGGUGAGUAACGCGUGGGAAUCUACCCAGUCCUUCGGAAUAACACAGGGAAACUUGUGCUAAUACCGGAUACGCCCUANCGGGGGAAAGAUUUAUCGGGAUUGGAUGAGCCCGCGUUGGAUUAGCUAGUUGGUGGGGUAAUGGCCUACCAAGGCGACGAUCCAUAGCUGGUCUGAGAGGAUGAUCAGCCACACUGGGACUGAGACACGGCCCAGACUCCUACGGGAGGCAGCAGUGGGGAAUAUUGGACAAUGGGCGAAAGCCUGAUCCAGCCAUGCCGCGUGAGUGAUGAAGGCCUUAGGGUUGUAAAGCUCUUUCAGUGGGGAAGAUAAUGACGGUACCCACAGAAGAAGCCCCGGCUAACUUCGUGCCAGCAGCCGCGGUAAU
rnacentral:rRNA from 1 species